rnacentral:SRP_RNA from 1 species
GCUGGGCAUGGUGGCAGACGCCUGUAGUCCUAGCUACUUGGGAGGCUGAGGCGGGCGGAUCACGAGAUCAGGAGUUCGAGAUCAGCCUGGCCAACAUGGUGAAACCCCAUCUCUAGUAAAAAUACAAANNNNNNNNNNUUUGUAUUUUUACUAGAGAUGGGGUUUCACCAUGUUGGCCAGGCUGAUCUCGAACUCCUGAUCUCGGGAUCCGCCCGCCUCAG